GUCAGUAUAGUUCAGAUGGUAGAGUGCUUGCCUGGCAAGCAGAAAGCCCUGGGCUCAAUCCCUAGCACUGCA
rnacentral:tRNA from 1 species